AUACCUUUCUCGGCCUUUUGGCUAAGAUCAAGUGUAGUAUCUGUUCUUAUCAGUUUAAUAUCUGAUAUGUGGACUAUAGGUCCACAUGAUAUUAACUCUAUUUUUUGAGGGGGAAGGCUCAUUAAGGUAGCUUGCUGCCUGGUCCUUCAAGCGUAGCCUAAGCGUUGCACUACAGCUUUGUCCUGGCGCACCCCAC
rfam:Capsicum annuum cultivar Zunla-1 unplaced genomic scaffold scaffold258, whole genome shotgun sequence